rnacentral:misc_RNA from 1 species
UCCCGGUUAACCCGGGCAGUCUCACUAGAGUUCCCACCAUUACGUGUUGGCAACUAGGGAUAAGGGUUGCGCUCGUUGCGGGACUUAACCCAACACCUCACGGCACGAGCUGACGACAGCCAUGCAGCACCUGUGCAAAGGCCCCGAAGGGAAGCCACAUCUCUGCGGCGGUCCUUUGCAUGUCAAACCUGGGUAAGGUUCUUCGCGUUGCAUCGAAUUAAACCACAUGCUCCACUGCUUGUGCGGGUCCCCGUCAAUUCUUUUGAGUUUCAGCCUUGCGACUGUACUCCCCAGGCGGUAUACUUAACGCGUUAGCUCCGGCACAGUCGGGGUUGAGUCCGACUACACCAAGUAUACAUCGUUUACAGCAAGGACUAC